rnacentral:rRNA from 1 species
CCUACGGGUGACAGCAGUGGGGAAUAUUGCACAAUGGGGGAAACCCUGAUGCAGCGACGUCGCGUGAGCGAGGAAGUAUUUCGGUAUGUAAAGCUCUAUCAGCAGGGACGAAAAAAGACGGUACCUGACUAAGAAGCCCCUGCUAACUACGUGCCAGCAGCCUCGGUAAUACGGAGGGGGCAAGCGUUAACCGGAUUUACUGGGGGUAAAGGGAGCGUAGACGGCAAGGCAAGCCAGAAGGGAAAGGGGAGGGCUCAACCCUGUACAUGCUUUUGGAACUGUGGUGCUAGAGUGCAGGAAAGGUAAGUGGAAUUCCUAGUGUAGCGGUGAAAUGCGUAGAUAUUAGGAGGAACACCAGUGGCGAAGGCGGCUUACUGGACUGUAACUGACGUUGAGGCUCGAAAGCGUGGGGAGCAAACAGGAUUAGAUACCCCGGUAGUC